GAUGAAGAACGCAGCGAAAUGCGAUAAGUAAUGUGAAUUGCAGAAUUCAGUGAAUCAUCGAAUCUUUGAACGCACAUUGCGCCCAUUAGUAUUCUAGUGGGCAUGCCUGUUCGAGCGUCAUUUCAACCCUUAAGCCUAGCUUAGUGUUGGGAGACUGCCUAAUACGCAGCUCCUCAAAACCAGUGGCGGAGUCUGUUCGUGCUCUGAGCGUAGUAAUUUUUUAUCUCGCUUCUGCAAGCCGGCCAGACGACAGCCAUAAACCGCACCCUCUCGGGGGGCACUUUUUUAAUGGUUGACCUCGGAUCAGGUAGGAAUACCCGCUGAACUUAAGCAUAUCAAAAGCGGAGG
rnacentral:misc_RNA from 1 species